GAGUCCCUUUGAUAUUGGCCUGGUUCACUCAGAUCUUCCCUGACCACACUCACGUCGUACAUAUGCAUUCUCUCUAGAUUAUCUGAUUGAGCCGCGCCAAUAUCUCAGUACUCUCU
rfam:Arabidopsis lyrata subsp. lyrata unplaced genomic scaffold ARALYscaffold_5, whole genome shotgun sequence.